UGUACAUUGGCUUUGAGCGCGUUAUUCCGGCGCAUUAAACCUGGCAACGGCUGUGUGAAACACGCGAACGUAUCAAAUUGGCGAGGUUGAAAAAAAAGGCCAAAAGAAUUCUCGGGAGCGAAAAGAUCUGCGACAGCGACCGAGGGAGAGAUGGUUUUCUGUCGCGCGCCAAAGGGGUGGACGGACGGCGUGGUGCAAGGGGUUGACGCGGGCGCGCAAAAAAAGCUCGUACAACGAAGCGCAGCAAUGGCAUUCAGAUGGUAACGAGCGCGCAUCCGAACGACGUCGGCAGUUUUGGAGGGUUUAACGAUCCGGAGCGUUCAUGAACCGAUUUACGAGGUUUUCGGCGCGAAACGCGCAAGCGGACGAAGGCGCGCGUCCGUGAAAAAAGUUAUUGCUGUCGCCGCCCUCGUCGUCGCCGUUGCUCCGCGAGAAUUAAUCGAUAAUAAAACCGACUGAAUAAACCUGUCAGUGACGGUGAGUUACAGUGGUGCGUCCAUUGAAAUAACAGCGACGCAUGUCGCGUCGUCUUCGGCAACCGCGGCGACAGCGCGAGUCUCGUUCGCGAAUUUUUGCGGAGCGUAUUACGCGAGGCGUUUACGUCACCGUCGAGAAAAAUCGCGCGUACAGAACGCAGCAAUCGCAAGUCGUUGCACAAAUCAUCGCUCGAUCGUGAGCUUCCCGCUUGCAUCGGGAAUGCGCGGUUGGCACGAAACCUGCUCCGUGCUCUUUCGAUUAUUUCGCAUUAUAUCUCGAGCUCCGCAGAAACAGCCCGAGAGCGCAAACGAGAGCCGCUUUUGCAAGUGACUGGCGAUAAAUCGGAGACAGAUACCGACAAUAAGCGACGAGUAAUAGGGAGGUCGAUACUACGCGACCGGACGAGAUGGCAGAAAAUAAUCGAUGCGCAACGGCCGCGACUCCCGGCAACAAUGCGCUUUAAUGUCGCGUGAAACGGCUCGCUCCUCGCGCUUCGGCGGACCCAUAGAAAAAUUUUGCAUGCCGCACGGUGGCCGUAGAAAACGUCGCGGUGACAGUUUGUCGAUAUCCCGUUGGGUCGGCGAAUAAUGGGACGCGGGCGAAAACAUCACGAGGGACGACGGGCAGGGCUUUAGACGCUGCCAGACAUUCCUCGCGGCAAUUCGAAGCUUGUCUCCCUUCUUCAUGGGACUUCCGAGGGAUCGUGAGUCCAUACGCCGGAGGAUUGGGAUUCUUUCGUUCGCGGGAUCGUCCGUUGGAUAGGGCGUACACCGACACCAGCAAGAAACACUAGAAAGAUCACUUUUUUAAUAUACAACAGAUAUAAUUCGACUAAAUAUGUACUUGUCGGGAAAUCACGAACUAUUCGUUUCGCUCGCUUGCUCGCCCUGCUGUCUCCCUUUCUUGUCUUAUUUGUCGCUCGUCUAUCUGUCUAUCUGUACCUUUCUCGCUCGGUCUCUGUCUGUGUCUAUUUUCGUCGCUUGCCCAUUUAUAUCGAUUAUAAGGCAAACGGUGCCUUUUCGAAAUUACCAAUCGCACGCCAACUUAUUUGUUUCGCGUUAGAAGCUGUUUUUUUCCGUAAACGAUUAGCUCCAUUGUCAAUGUCCCGAAUAAAUUUCGUUUAUAAUGUAUCUUUUUUCAGUAUUCUUUUUUCUAGUAUUCGACAUUUAUUUUUCGUUUAUUUUAGCUUUGUUUAACACUUUGUUGAUUGUCAUGUGGAAUGCACGGUGACAGCGACCUAAUUUUUGACGUUCCAACGGACAUUGACGAAUGAUUGGCAUUAUACGUAUGUAUGUAAUGAAACAGAUAAAUUCGAAUACUUGUAGAAUUUUAAAUAACAUAAAUAUGUUACGACGACAAUGCAAGAUAAAAGAUAAAACAUUGUUGGGCAAUUAGGCAUUUUACUUUGUACUAAUGUAUAUUUUUUAAUUACUUGUAAAUUACGCGAAAAUUCUAUUAUAGUGUAGACAAUGCACAAGUAAUAUUCGCCGAGUAAUCAGCGUGUUAAUCAUUCGUUUAUUAGCAUUUUUAAGCAAAGAUAUAUAUUUAGUAACCAGCCUAGUUUUCGAAAUGUUGUUCCUAGUAUAGACCGAUUUCUUACACUCAUACUUUAUUUUGUUGCAUGCUAUGCCGUUAGUUCUGUUAGAUUUCUCAUCUAACCCGUGAAGGGUCACGAUUCCAGACCGCCAAAUAAAUGAUACUUCUUCUACAUGUUUUUUUUUUCUCUCAUCCGCCACGAUCGCGCAAGUGGCGUGCUCGAUUGAUUUCGGCAUGUAGGUUGCACGUGAUCCCACUUCAGCUGCUAUUGUGGCACCGAGCUCUCUCAUUCUCCGCGAAAUUGCUCGAUGCCAAAAGCAGGUGGAAUUAAAGAAUUAGGAUCUGGCUGGCUCUGGGAGAGUGGAGGAGCCGGAGGGACGCUAAUGAAAUAAGCCGCUUCCAAUUGAACCGUACCUUAAAGUAAUUAAUUGUUGUCGCGACGAAAUCGCGGCGCAAAUAGAACGGCGCAGAUGGUCUGCGAUGACGAAGAAGGAGAGGAAGGCGAGAGAAAAAGAGAAAGAGAAAGAGAGAGGGAGGGAGAGAGAAAGUACGUCUCGAUGAGAGUUGCCGAUAGUCCCCGUAAUUCUUUCUCCCG